GAUUUCUGAUGAACCGGAGUGGCCCGUUUCCUUUCAGGGAAUGAGUGCCGCUUUGAGUUUGUCAUCCUUCCAGAGAGCUGCGUCUACCGUUCACUCGGCCGGACGUAUGCGAUCUGGAUCUAUUACUUUGAAAAAAUUAGAGUGUUUAAAGCAGGCUUACGCUGUGAAUACAUUAGCAUGGAAUAAUAAUCUAGGACUUUGGUUCUAUUUUGUUGGUUUCUAGGAUCGAAGUAAUGAUUGAUAGGGAUAGUUGGGGGUGCUAGUAUUCCGCGGCCAGAGGUGAAAUUCUUGGAUUCGGUCAAGACUAACUUAUGCGAAAGCAUU
rnacentral:rRNA from 1 species